AGUUUUGCUGGUUUGCAUUCAGCUUUAAUGGUGUUUGCUGUGCAAAUCCAUGCAAAACUG
ensembl:miRNA